rnacentral:rRNA from 1 species
CGUACGAUAUGAGUUUGAUCAUGGCUCAGAACGAACGCUGGCGGCAUGCCUAACACAUGCAAGUCGAACGAACCCUUCGGGGUUAGUGGCGCACGGGUGCGUAACGCGUGGGGAUCUGCCCAAAGGUUCGGAAUAACUCAGAGAAAUUUGAGCUAAUACCGGAUAAUGUCUUCGGACCAAAGAUUUAUUGCCUUUGGAUGAACCCGCGUAGGAUUAGCUUGUUGGUGGGGUAAAGGCCUACCAAGGCGACGAUCCUUAGCUGGUCUGAGAGGAUGAUCAGCCACACUGGGACUGAGACACGGCCCAGACUCCUACGGGAGGCAGCAGUGGGGAAUAUUGGACAAUGGGCGAAAGCCUGAUCCAGCAAUGCCGCGUGAGUGAUGAAGGCCUUAGGGUUGUAAAGCUCUUUUACCAGGGAUGAUAAUGACAGUACCUGGAGAAUAAGCUCCGGCUAACUCCGUG